CAAAGGUUUAGGGCAGCCAAAGCAAGAGAGUUUCACUGAGUUCACACCAGCAUUCACUGAGCACACAGCUCUGCUUGGCUGAAGGCAUAUCCAGGUAUCCAACAAGUGUUGUUUUCAUCCACCUAAAGUCUUUGAUUGCCUUGAUUAACACAACUAAGAAGACCUUGCUGAUUUGAAAGCAGAGUGAAAAACCUUCUCAGCAGAAAUCAAAGCCCUGGAGCGGUCUGGAAUGUACAGGAAUGGCAUUAACAACUAAUCCCCACUAAUCCAAGAUGACAUCCUUAUCACAUGAGAGCAUAAAAUGUAAUUAGAGUUAUAUAGUGUUAUCUCCAGAGUACUAAGCAAAUAUUAACCAAUCCAUCUUCCCAGUGCUCCUCUGGGGACAGCCCAGCAGUUCAGUUACCCUGGCUGUGCAGGUGGGGAAACCAAAGACAUGGGAUGGUGCACUAGCAGGGUCCCCUUCUGGAGAAGACCAUGCCCACCUUGCAUCCAAAAACCCGAAAUAAGAAAAGCAUUUCUGACUGCUGGGAAGUCUUUUGAAGACACAGAGCACAUCUUCCUUCAAGGCCCCUGUUGUCUAAGGGAUGGCAAGUGACCACUGUUGCCCUGCAUUUCCAGGAUCUCUCAACAGCUAUUAUAUAUCUGCAGGGAGGUAAAAUGCAUUGUCAGACAGGGGCUUCCUCCACUGCUAGAACACAUUUAAGUGAUAUCCAACCAUCUCUUCACCUCUGUUUGUAUCAGGGUUUUUUUUUUAAUGUCCCAGAUUUGCCCCAUCUCAUGGAUGCCGCAGAAGGUGCCUUUGCCCGGGGGAGCUUUUUUGUCUUACCUUUGGCUCUCCAAGGGAGAUUGGCCCUGAGAUGGAUAGUGCAACUGAUGGUCCCCACCUGUGUGAAGCAAUGCCCUUGGGACUGAAGUCAGCAUGCAGGCUUUACAGCCUGAAUUGAGGUCUCCACCAUCCUUGUAGCCAAGGACACCUAGAGAUGGGCAGGGAGGUCUCCCUGCAUGAUGCCUUUCACCAGGCUGUGUGUUUUGUUGUUUAACAAAAUACAGAGCCUGAUCCACUUACAGCAGUUGGAUCAUUUUCAGCAGUGGGGGAUGUGGUCCUCUUAUCAACGCCUGUUAGCACUGGCUGCCCUUGACCAAGAGCUGCUUUUGAGCAGAGGAAGACACAAACAGCCACUGAAUUUCUCAAGGCUUUAGGAUAAGAUUGUAUUUCUUGGGCUGGCAAUGCCCUCUGCUUUAAAAAAAAAGUAUUUGAGAGUGAAGUAUAAAUUCCUGGGCUCUAUCAGCCUCUAAAAUCAAAGACACCAACCAAAAGGGUACUGGCAUUUGAAGGACAGAACGUUUCAUGGGCUUUUUGGUGGUCACACUGUAGUGGCACUGUCUUGACUGGAGGACAUUACCCUUGAAGAUCUGUCACAACAUACAUUUACCAGAGGGCUUGAGAAGAGCUGCAGAGUACAGGGUGAGAAGGGACAGCUGCAGUGUCCCCUGGGUACUCCCUAGCUCUGUGCCACCUCUCCCUGCUGCAAGCUGUUCCAUACCCUGCAGGAUCCACUCAGUGAACAUUUUAUUUUCCCCUGGGACACUGGGAGUGAACGAAAUGAAGCGGUGAACAUUAGGACUGGUGCGUUUGUUUGCUUUAUUAAUCAAAUUCCAGAUUUUUCUGGGAUAGUAAAGAAGAGGCCACCUGCAGAAAACUCCGGCAAACUUUUCCAGGCACAAGGAGGGAAGGAAUGCCGUUGAGGAAGAGAAAUGUUGAAGUGGUUCGUGGAAAGCUGUUUUGUCACCGGUUCUUUGGAGUUAAGACUAUGUUACACCCUCACUGGCAGUCAUACCUCACUGGGUUGAGGGCAAGAUCUGUUCCCAGCCCACCCUAGGCUUCCUUCUCCCCUGCUCCCCCGCUGCGCUGGCACCAUCAGUUGCAUGGCCCCACUGGGACUCAGAUCCACAGACUGAUCCGCUGGGAAACAAACUGGAGACCAGAAAAAGGCUUUUUGUAACUUACGGAGACAGAGCAGUCCCCAGAAGGAGCUGCUCACCUCCGGCGCUGCUGGUGCGGACAAGGGGAGAGGUGUGGCAUGUCCUGCAGUGGUGGACAGAGGUGCAGGGGGAGGCAGCGCUGCUACCUGGGUGGGACCGUAUCACCCCAGAACCUGCUGUGGGACACCUCAGUUUAUAAGAGGUCUUUUUUCGGCCUGCUGAGGAGCUGCUCCUAACUGUGUCUAGGAUGGCCACUAAAACCCUACACUUAAGAGGUUGCCUUCUAUGCCUCCUGGUUGUGAGGCAGUUUAAAUCCACAAAUGCCCCAGAUAUUAUCAUAUUAGCAUACUGCAGAGUAGGGAGCAAUUUUUACCCUCUUAGGCAGCUUACCUGACACUGCUUUUCUAGCUUUAUAAUGCUGCCAGUAAACUGCCGUACAUGUCUGACUUGGCCAGUGUGUCCUCUACAAACCAUUGAACAUGUUCCCUUUCCUUGCCCAAGGGGCCCUGGCUCCAGAGUUGCUGGGUCUCUGCCUCUGCUUCUGGAGCUCAGGCUGCCCAGGUUAAACUAUGCAUUGAAAAAUUCCAUAACCACUUCCAGCCUCAAUGAAUAGCUUAUUCAAGGCCACUGGAAGGCUCUUGCGUUAUCUAGUUCAAUGGUUUUCAACUUGUUUGUUUCCUGUUUUUAUUUCCAGUAGAGAUGGGAAUCCCCAAAAAGUCACAUGUACAGCCAGCCGACCAGCUUGGUGCAGUCACUUUCCACAGGUGAUGCAGGAGCACCCUGGGCCCUUGCAGGGUCUUCCUUGUGAGCCAGGAGAUUUGACAUCUCUCACGUGUCUUUAUCAGUAUGUAUCACUCUGGCAAUCUUUGUAUUUUCUCUAUAGGUAAUCAGAUUGUAAAUUUUUCUAUAUGCUCCUAGAGGAAGCUGUGGUGGUGAAAUUACUAGUAUUUAAGAUUGAGAAGUCUGGUUAAGAAGUUACCUUUACUAAAAGCACAUUCUUUUGACUAAAAGGUGACAGUCUGUGAUUGUUCACAACUCCCUGCUGCUGAGCUAGGGUAACAGCUGGCGUGCCACCCUGAUGGCCUCCACCAAGAGCCAUCUCUCCAUAUCAUCAUAUUAUUUACUGUUUGAUACCUUAGGUUUGUGCAGCUAGCAAGCUACUUAAGGAGUCCAUCACAUCCCUUUUGUAAAUAUUAUCACAAUAUGGGUUUUCUUCUGGAAUUCCCCAUGGAUUCCAAGUCACACUGAACACCGGCACCAGUGGUACAGACCAUUCUUCAAUGCAGUUUAUGCUUGAAAUUGUUGGAUUAAAAAUGUGUAAUUUUACUCACUGCUAAAGUUAGAAAAGUCCAAAAAGGAAAUCUGCAGGAAGAAGAACUCAAGGAUUAUUUCUGCUACGCAUUUGAAGAAAUAAAGCACAGAUGAUGUGUAUAAUGGCAAAAUCAAAAUGCGAAGAGCUCCAACUAAACAGAGGCUAUUGAAAAGCAGCUAUGAAGAUUAGACAUAAAUCUGACUGCUUGACACCACCAAGCAGAUUAUGUCACUUUGAGUUUAUUCUAUUGAUUCAUAGUAAAACUAAUGGUGCUGUCUCACGUAAUAGUCUCAGUGAUUGCUACUGCUUGCACCCGGUGUUACGAGCUGGACAUUGCUGGAUAGGGUCAGCUUCCCUUCCACUGUUACUACUUCCCUUCUGUUUGUGUUACAAGAAGUCCCUUCCCAAGAGAUGUUUAUAAACUAUGAUCAAGUUUCUUAACCUUGUUUUGAUAAAUGAAAGCAGAUGUUUGGCAGGAUUCAUCUGAUUCAUCUCAGUGUUUAUAGACAGCAGGAUCUCACUGGCAUGGUCCAGGGAGUCUAGGACACUGCAUCCUACCCCACACAGAUGUUUACAUUAGGUCAAAUAAGGAAGGCUGACCUACACUUGUAAGCAAUUAAAACUACAUCACCUUACACUAUUUCACACUAGUAUUUGUAUUUUUUUUUCAGAUCUUUAACCCAUCUAUAUUAACCUGUCUUGAAGAAUUUCUUUUACAAUGGGCAACCUAGACCCAUAGCACACAAUUUUUGAUUGAACUAUUCUGUGACAAUAUAGUUAUUUAGUCGAUGCCUUAUAAACAGACAUGCCAGGAGCAGUUUAUUCUUUUUCCUCGUCAGGGGCAGCCAGGAACAAGUCCGCGUUGUAUUUCAGCGUCAGAGGAACCCAUGUCUGGGAUGAACCAGCAAAAAUGUUUUAUGGUCAGAGCAACGCUGCAUUUAUAUGAAAAUAUGCAGAGGUUUGGUAACAUUUCGUGUCAUCCUGGCUCUAGAGAUGGGAAUAAAGAAGGUUGUAAAGAAAAUGGGUUUUGUGUUAGACUUUUUAAUCUCAAUUGAGUGCUGAGGUGGUUGAUAGGUUUGAAAAAGCCAGUGGGGUGCCUGUCUUAAACAUAAUUAAUUCUGUCAUUUCUUCCUUGAGCUGAAACUAAAUGUUGGUUAAUUGGCACUGAUUGAUUAAAGCAGAACAAGGGAAAAUUUCCUCUGAAAGUCUGAGGCUUGUCUUUACUAUGAAAUGUGGGAGUGCUUCUAGCCUGAGACAAAAUUCUGCUGAAGACAACAGUUUCUGCUUGGUACAGUGAGCUCCAGUUGUAUCUUCAGUGUCUCUUAUUCCUCUGGUCCAACAGCUGUUCUGCAAGCAAGCCUAACGGAGACAAGAGAUAGGUUGGUUUUGCCAUGAUAUAGCUAGCAGUUUUGAAUAUUAUGCAUCUGAACUGCCACUGACCUUCCCUAACUACAUCACGGGAAAAGUUAAAGCAAUGGUCCCCAGGAGGGUUUUGCAGUGAGGGUACUCAGAAGGCUGCAUUUAUUGGACUUAGGAACUGCUGUGCAAACACAAUAAAAGAAGAGUCUUAAAUUUGGUUUAUAAAAAUCAAGGGAAUAACAUGUUAGUAGGAUAAUUGUACAAAUUACUGUCGUUGCAAAAUUGCUUUUAUGUAUGAAUAUUCGAGUUGGCAACAAUUACAGCCAGACUAUAUGUAGCUAAUAAAAGAAAACCACACUCCCUUUUCCAGUUUA